CGGUUCUUCGGAUUCAGGUUUUUUUCCCAGCCCUAUGUCCAAUUCAACAGAAACUAUGUGUCUAGCCUUGAAGCAUAGAUAUUAUUUGUAAUAUUUAAUUUACAAGUUAAAAAAAAAACAAUUCAAAUCUAAUUAAAAUAUCUUACGGAUGGCUGAAACUUAUUCGUUUAGGCUACAUACAGUGUAGGUAAAAUUAUCUAGUCAUAGUCUCACAAAAGCAUCAAAGGGAAAUAUAAAAUUUGACAACUUUUGGAAAUAUAUUUUUCUUAGUUAUAAGAACAAAAGGAAGUUUUCUUUAUGUAAAAUCUAAAAUUAUGAAUUUACAUUGGAAUGUAUCUGAAAUAACAAGAUACGUAAUAUCUUACUUGUUUAGCUAUCUUCAAAUAAAACAAUUAUGGAAAAAAUCAUAUCCAGCAAAUUUUAUCAAACAUAUAUAGAAUUUUAUUUUCUAUUUUAAAUAUUUAAUACUGUAUUAAUUUACUGUAAAAAUUGUGUUUUAGUAAUAAUUUUGAAAAUCUAAAAAUAUAUUUUCAUAGCUAUUUUAGAUCAUUUUAGAUAAAUAUUAAAAUCUAAAAUCGUUAAUAAUUUUCAAAGAAAUAUUGGAGAGAGAUUACACCCCUCAACAAGGCUCUUCAAAUGCAAUUUCCGGCCUAAUUUGAACAUGCAAAUCAGGGAGAACUCGGCCCUAUAUAAUCCGGCCCACUACAUUCGGCCCAACCGGAUUAGGUCAGCGCAAAGUGAGGGCUUAGAAGCGCCGAGUAUAAAGGAAAAAGGAAAGCACAAGAAAAAGAGAUAUUCAGAAACCAGACAAGACUAGAACGGCUAGAAAUAUGGUUUAUCAUCUUUAAUCCUUUAUUCUAGCCAGAAACCUUGUCUUUUAUCUUAAUCAUUACCAAAACUCUCUUGUAAUCUCCGACCAGAUUGUUUAACAAAACGUCUUUCAAAUAACUCACCACCGUGUUCGCUCACUCUCUAGUUACACACCGAACACUGAUUAAACAAGAGACAUCAAUGAAAGUAUAACAAGAUUUUAUAUAAACUUACUCCAAGAUCAAUGAGUGAUAAAUAUAAGCUUCCAAGGAAAACACUUCGCAGAAGAUCUCUGUCACCUGAGCCAUCUGGAGAGAGUUCAACAGAUGAUGAAGCAAACAAAGUUGAGAGAAAAGUCCCCUACAAAGCUCUUCUCAUAAGACCUCGGCCAUUUGAACCAUUUGAUGAGGAUGAUUCAACGGACAGUGAUGCAACGGAUAGUGAUGCAACGGACAGUGAUGUAACAAGUCCAGAGGGGUUGAAAGUGAGUCCAAAGAAGAGCAAUGAUGCAAUAAACGAGCCGUCGAACAAGAAGAGAAGACUGCAUAGGAAGAAGAUGUAUACCCCUCGACGAUUUAUUUCCCCAGAGGCAGAAGUUAACCAGACUGAUGCAAAUCCGUGCAACAGUAGGAGAUCAGAGAAGGCCCAUUCUGAUCAACGUGUCACCCCAGAAGAACCAUAAACAAGACGAAUCAGAAACAAUUGCUUAUCCAAUAUCUAUGUUCUUAUCUUUUAUUUUAUGACUUUAUUUCGUAAUUUGAAGUUUGCUUUUAACUUAUCUGCAUGCUGAGAUAUAAUAAAGUUUUUCAUUUUCAACCUCAAACGUGUUGAUUGAAUCUGAAAAAAAAAGUUUCGGUGUAAUAUCUCAUCUUCAAACCACAAAAUCAGCCCA